CAAAAUGUAGCUUAACGAAAGCAUCUCGCUUACACCGAGACGAUAUCCGCGAAACCCAGAUCAUUUUGA
rnacentral:tRNA from 1 species